AAAUAAAAACAGGGAAAAGAUCUAACAAAUAAAAUGAAAUUUUAAUCAAUGGUCUUUGAAUUAGUGAUAUCAUUAAGCAAACAGAAACAAGGCAGUGUGUUAAAUAUUAAUGAGACCCCUGAAUUUAUUAUGCCUCUGUCCCCCCAAGGGCCCCAUUCAGAACUGGGACAUAUGAUAAUAUACCAUUGGGUCGCUACUGAAGAGAGAGAGGGGGAUAGAGAGAGAGAGAGAUAGAAAGAGAGAGAGAGACAGAGAGAGGGGGAUAGAGAGAGAGAUGGGGACUGUAAUUAGGAAUAUGAGAGAGAGUAAGAAAGAAGGAAUUAAGUACGAUGACAGGGAGAGAGAGAAAAUGGAGAGAAAGGAGGAGGAGGAGAGAGACGGGGAGAAAGGUGGAUGGAUAAGUAGACAUAAUAAAUGUUUGAGGAAAGGAGGUGAUAUACGGCAGGGACUGAGAGAGAUGGAGAGAUGGAGGGAGGUGGAGAGAGAGGAAGGAAGGUGAUGUCCAGCAGGGACUGAGAGAGAUGGAGAGAUGGAGGGAGGUGGAGAGAGAGGAAGGAAGGUGAUAUACGGCAGGGACUGAGAGAGAUGGAGGGAGGUGGAGAGAGAGGAAGGAAGGUGAUAUACGGCAGGGACUGAGAGAGAUGGAGGGAGGUGGAGAGAGAGGAAGGAAGGUGAUGUCCAGCAGGGACUGAGAGAGAUGGAGAGAUGGAGGGAGGUGGAGAGAGAGCAAGGGAUUGGUGUAUAGCAGAAUUACUUUAAUGAAAGAUGAGAAUCCCAACAGGACCCUUUAGAAACAUCUCUUGGGAUAAGAGACAAAGAGAUGGGGAGGGGGGGGUGAAUACGGGGAGGGGAGAGAGAGAUUGAAAUAAAGAGAGACCAUGAUAGACUGCUACAAAGGGAAAGCGAGCGAAAAGCUAAAAUACAGAGAUCAAAUAACGCAAACACAAAGCAUUUGGAUUAUUCUGGAAUAAUACGUGUAUCUGUGAUAACAUGGAAACAGCAGAGAUCUUCUAGAAUCCUAGUACAGUACAGCUCUGGGGUGCCUGGUGACUAACAAACAAGCCUUCUUCUCUACUGUCAGUCCAUUUCAUCAACUCUCUUCAAAUAUUCAUAGAAUUUAUACCUCAUCUUUCUCCCUUUCGCCUGUGAACCACUAAAUAUGGUUGUUGUUCUUGUUUUCCAGCUAUCUUUUCCCUGCACCAACACACACACACACACACACACACCUAGUGCCAACCCUGUCGCAGCCAGCCAAACACGCGUGUCUUGCCUGAGGCCUCUAGCCAGCACUGGAGGUUAGAUAGGGGUUACAUUUAAAUUGAAAUUGAACGGAGGAUUAGAUUACCAGUUCUGGGAGACAGACUGGGGUUGGGAUUAAAGGACACCUACAACCAGACGCAGAGCACCAAUUCACAUCAACAUGCACAUCACACACCACCAUCCAUGGUGGGUAAGAGGGAGCACUUUGUUGCUUUGCCUCCAAAAGUCUCCUAAAUAAAUAUGGUCUGAUUUGAUUUAAAAGAGAGGGUAGAAGCGUUAAAAAGAGAGAGAUAGGGAUGAAAGAAGAGUGCAGGGGACAGAGAGAGUGAUUGAUUUCCACACAGUUCUAAAGCGUUUUCCUCUGGGGCGAUGGAUAAAGGGAAGGAGAGAGAGAAGGAGAAGAAUAGAGGGACCUGGGUAAUAAAGAAAGCAGAUACUUUGCUGGGCUCCUGUUACUGUCACCUCUUUCUUUCCCUCGUUCUUUUCUUCACCUUAACACAGACUCCCUUUAUUUCUAAUGGAGUCCUAAGCAACCUGAGCUCUAACUAAGGGAGUGGGAGAGGUAGAUAUAGAGGGAGAGACAGGUGGAUGGAGGGGGACAGAAGGGUGAAGGAGAGAAGUGGUCAGCGGGAGAGAACUGAGAGGGUGUUAGAUGAAACGCAGAGCAUAAUGUCUUGGGAGCAGACAGCAGAGUUUAGAAGAAGUCAUGCAUUCACAUUAAAAAAGGAAGCGAGAGAGAGAUGGAGAGAGGGAGGGGGAGACGGAGAGAGGGAGAGACGGAGCGAGGGAGUGAGAGACGGAGCCAGAGAGAGUGAGAGACGGAGCCAGAGAGAGUGAGAGACGGAGCCAGAGAGAGGGAGAGACGGAGCCAGAGAGAGGGAGAGACGGAGCCAGAGAGAGGGAGAGACGGAGCG
ensembl:lncRNA